rnacentral:rRNA from 1 species
GUCGAGCGAGAAAGCUACCUUCGGGUAGUAAGUAAAGCGGCGGACGGGUGAGUAACGCGUGAAUAAUCUGUCCUUAAGUUUAGGAUAACCUGAUGAAAGUCGGGCUAAUCCUAAAUGAACUAUGCGAGUGGCGACACUCAGAUAGCAAAGGUGGUUUACCAUCGUUUAGGGAGGAGUUCGCGUCGGAUUAGCUAGCUGGUAAGGUAACGGCUUACCAGGGCGACGAUCCGUAGCUGGUCUGAGAGGACGAUCAGCCACACUGGGACUGAGACACGGCCCAGACUCCUACGGGAGGCAGCAGUGGGGAAUCUUUCGCAAUGGACGCAAGUCUGACGAAGCAACGCCGCGUGAGUGAGGAAGGCCCUUUGGGUUGUAAAGCUCUGUUGCCGGGGAAGAAAGUUAGUGUAAGGAAAUGUGCAUUAAUUGACGGUACCUGGUGAGGAAGCACUGGCUAACUACGUGCCAGCAGCCGCGGUAAUACGUAGAGUGCAAGCGUUGUCCGGAAUCAUUGGGCGUAAAGGGUACGCAGGCGGAUAUACAAGUCAAAUGUGAAAGGUGUAGGCUUAACCUACAGACUGCGUUUGAAACUGUAUAUCUUGAGAGCAGCAGAGGAAGGCGGAAUUCCUGGUGUAGUGGUGAAAUACGUAGAUAUCAGGAAGAACACCAGUGGCGAAGGCGGUCUUCUGGGCUGCAUCUGACGUUCAUGUACGAAAGCUGGGGCAGCGAACGGGAUUAGAUACCCCGGUAGUCCCAGCUGUAAACGCUGGACACUAGGUGUUGGAGGUUCGAAUCCUUCAGUGCCGGAGUUAACGCAUUAAGUGUCCCGCCUG